AACGAACGCUGGCGGCAGGCUUAACACAUGCAAGUCGAACGCACCUUUCGGGGUGAGUGGCAGACGGGUGAGUAACGCGUGGGAAUCUACCCUUCUCUACGGGAUAGCUCCGGGAAACUGGAAUUAAUACCGUAUACGUCCUGAGGGAGAAAGAUUUAUCGGGGAAGGAUGAGCCCGCGUUGGAUUAGCUAGUUGGUGGGGUAAAGGCCUACCAAGGCGACGAUCCAUAGCUGGUCUAAGAGGAUGAUCAGCCACAUUGGGACUGAGACACGGCCCAAACUCCUACGGGAGGCAGCAGUGGGGAAUAUUGGACAAUGGGCGCAAGCCUGAUCCAGCCAGGCCGCGUGAGUGAUGAAGGCCCUAGGGUUGUAAAGCUCUUUCAGUGGGGACGAUAAUGACGGUACCCACAGAAGAAGCCCCGGCUAACUUCGUG
rnacentral:rRNA from 1 species